rnacentral:rRNA from 1 species
GUGGACGCUGGCGGUAGGCCUAACACAUGCAAGUCGAACGGCAGCACAGUAAGAGCUUGCUCUUACGGGUGGCGAGUGGCGGACGGGUGAGGAAUACAUCGGAAUCUACUUUUUCGUGGGGGAUAACGUAGGGAAACUUACGCUAAUACCGCAUACGACCUACGGGUGAAAGCAGGGGAUCUUCGGACCUUGCGCGAUUGAAUGAGCCGAUGUCGGAUUAGCUAGUAGGCGGGGUAAAGGCCCACCAAGGCGACGAUCCGUAGCUGGUCUGAGAGGAUGAUCAGCCACACUGGAACUGAGACACGGUCCAGACUCCUACGGGAGGCAGCAGUGGGGAAUAUUGGACAAUGGGCGCAAGCCUGAUCCAGCCAUACCGCGUGGGUGAAGAAGGCCUUCGGGUUGUAAAGCCCUUUUGUUGGGAAAGAAAAGCAGCAGGUUAAUACCCCGCUGUUCUGACGUUACCCAAAGAAUAAGCACCGGCUAACUUCGUG